rnacentral:rRNA from 1 species
GAUGAACGCUAGCUACAGGCUUAACACAUGCAAGUCGAGGGGAAACGAUAUUGGAAGCUUGCUUCUGAUAGGCGUCGACCGGCGCACGGGUGAGUAACGCGUAUCCAACCUGCCCAUCACUUGGGGAUAACCUUGUGAAAGUAAGACUAAUACCCAAUGACGUCUCUAGAAGACAUCUGAAAGAGAUUAAAGAUUUAUCGGUGAUGGAUGGGGAUGCGUCUGAUUAGCUUGUUGGCGGGGUAACGGCCCACCAAGGCGACGAUCAGUAGGGGUUCUGAGAGGAAGGUCCCCCACAUUGGAACUGAGACACGGUCCAAACUCCUACGGGAGGCAGCAGUGAGGAAUAUUGGUCAAUGGACGAGAGUCUGAACCAGCCAAGUAGCGUGCAGGAUGACGGCCCUAUGGGUUGUAAACUUCUUUUAUACGGGAAUAAAGUGAGGCACGUGUGCCUUUUUGUAUGUACCGUAUGAAUAAGGAUCGGCUAACUCCGUGCCAGCAG